GUGAGGAAUAUUGCGCAAUGGAGGCAACUCUGACGCAGCCAUGCCGCGUGCAGGAAGAAGGCGCUACGCGUUGUAAACUGCUUUUAACCGGGAAGAAACCCCAGGACGUGUCCUGGGUUGACGGUACCGGAGGAAUAAGCACCGGCUAACUUCGUGCCAGCAGCCGCGGUAGUACGAAGGGUGCAAGCGUUAUCCGGAUUCAUUGGGUUUAAAGGGUGCGUAGGCGGAGCGUUAAGUCAGUGGUGAAAUCCUGCAGCUUAACUGUAGACUUGCCAUUGAUACUGGCGCUCUUGAGUGCGCUUGAAGUGGGCGGAAUGUGCCGUGUAGCGGUGAAAUGCUUAGAUAUGGCACAGAACACCAAUUGCGAAGGCAGCUCACUAAGGCGAUACUGACGCUGAGGCACGAAAGCGUGGGGAUCGAACAGGAUUAGAUACCCGGGUAGUCC
rnacentral:rRNA from 1 species